ensembl:lncRNA
UUUGAGAAAUGGUCUUAUGAAUUGCCUUCAACAUCUCUGGCCUUUUUUUUUCUUUGUAAUUCACUAGUGAUAAAGCUUCAUUGUAUGAAAAUGACUUGACUUCUGCAAACAUCCAACCUUCAGUUGAAAUUGUCUGAUAAGUUUGGAUAGAAGGAGGCUCAAGGGUAGUAGAAGAAGAAAGGAAACUGGAAAGUCACAGGAAGACUGGUUCGGGGCUCACCAUUCUCUCUAGAAAGAAUAGCACACAGAGCUCACAGGGGUGCACGACGGUAUGAAAAACUGGCUUCUCACUCUACCAGGCUGAACUCCAUUUAAAAUCAGGAGCCGUGACCAGCAUCAUCAAUGAAAUGUGUGUCUGUGGAGGUCUGGCUGACUAUUCUGAAAAACCACCACCCAAAUGAAUCUCAUUUUAAUGGAGACCCUGCAUCAAGUUACGUAAUGGCCUGUCCAUCACCGACUGGAUCUCUCACAUUUUCUCAGAUGUUAAUAGAAUAUUCUGUAAAACAGAAGCAGAACCUCAGGAGAUAAAAAAGAAGGCUACAGUGGAGAAAUUUAAGAACAUGUCUUUCCCCCACCAGGCAAUAAGAUGUGCUACUGGCAGAGCUGUGAAGAUUAAAUGGAAUGAAUUUACAUAUGCAAAAGCACACAGACAGGGUUCUAAGCAAAGGUGAGUAGCCUUCUGUAAUUUAUUGAAUGCUAGUACAUGCAGCAAACUAGACCAGCCUCUUUAAGGGUCCUUCUUCUGAGGAAACUUAAAAUCUAACUGAGGAAUCAUACAGACACACAGAAGAUAUGUAAUUACAUAUCAAUUUACAUUUUCAGAAAACUCACUUAGGACUUUGCAAAUUUUUAUCACCAUUUGAAAUUUAUCUUGUAAUUUGAUCCUGGUGCUUACUCACAAUUUAAUUUUAGGUGGCCCCUUUUACACCUUCCCUCUGCCUUCUGCACUUGGCCCCCUUGACAUCAAAGUUAUACUAAUGGAAAAACUGCACCUCCCCACCUUGCAGCAUGUUAACAGUCACUACUGCAGUUGCAUGGUGUGCAAGGAGUAGAUCUGGACAGGAAUCUGUCUUCCAGACCUUUUGUUCUCUGUCUGCACCUGCUGAUUUGCAUCUUAGUUACCCAGGAUAGACCAGUUUUUUUGCUUAGCCAUGAAAGUUUCAAAGGAAGAGGGGAAGUAAUAUUAACCAAUCAUGGAAAUAGGGGUCAGAGUUGUUGCCAUCCCCCGCUGCAUGCGGGCUAGUUGACUUUUUGUGAUCUUUCUUUAGAUGCUAUCUUGUUCACAUAGUUUGUUUGUUAGAUGAUUGAAGGGGAAGCUAGGGGAGAGAUCUGAUCGCUUUUAAUAAUUUUUCAUUUUCUAUUUUUUGAUCUACAGAAAGAAUCAAGGGGUUAGGCAAGGUAAUGUGUAAUCAAAAGAUUUGAAAAGUGUGCUUGAGCUGGAGAUGAGUAGAGCAGGGGGUACCUGGUUUAAGUUUAGUUACAGUAUAGCUAUGCUGAAGUGACAAGGCAGAAGGAGUUUCCUGCUGAGGGCAGUUUUCUGCUUAUAGGAUCAGUGAAAUAAAACAUUCUCAGGGUGCUGGACA